GCCAGUGUGGUGUAGUGGUUUCAGCAUUGGACUGAGACUCUGGAGAACAGGGUUCGAAUCCCUGCUUAGCCA